AGAAUCAACGCUGGCGGCGUGCCUAACACAUGCAAGUCGAACGAGAAAGUGGAGCAAUCCAUGAGUAAAGUGGCGACCGGGUGAGUAACACGUGACUAACCUACCUUCGAGUGGGGGAUAACAUCGGGAAACCGAUGCUAAUACCGCAUAACAUCGCAAGAUCAAAGCAGCAAUGCGCUGGAAGAGGGGGUCGCGGCUGAUUAGCUAGUUGGCGGGGUAACGGCCCACCAAGGCGAAGAUCGGUAGCCGGCCUGAGAGGGCGCACGGCCACACUGGAACUGAAACACGGUCCAGACUCCUACGGGAGGCAGCAGUGGGGAAUUUUGCGCAAUGGGGGAAACCCUGACGCAGCAACGCCGCGUGGAGGAUGAAGCCCCUUGGGUGUAAACUCCUUUCGACCAAGACGAUAAUGACGGUACUGAUGGAAGAAGCACCGGCUAACUCUGUGCCAGCAGCCGC
rnacentral:rRNA from 1 species